GACGAACGCUGGCGGCGUGCUUAACACAUGCAAGUCGAACGAUGAUGCCAGCUUGCUGGUGGAUUAGUGGCGAACGGGUGAGUAACACGUGAGCAACCUGCCCCUGACUUCGGGAUAACCGCGGGAAACCGUGGCUAAUACCGGAUAUGACGCGCUAUCGCAUGGUGGUGUGUGGAAAGAUUUAUCGGUUGGGGAUGGGCUCGCGGCCUAUCAGCUUGUUGGUGGGGUGAUGGCCUACCAAGGCGACGACGGGUAGCCGGCCUGAGAGGGUGACCGGCCACACUGGGACUGAGAAACGGCCCAGACUCCUACGGGAGGCAGCAGUGGGGAAUAUUGCACAAUGGGCGCAAGCCUGAUGCAGCGACGCCGCGUGAGGGAUGACGGCCUUCGGGUUGUAAACCUCUUUCAGUAGGGAAGAAGGCCUUCGGGUUGACGGUACCUGCAGAAGAAGCGCCGGCUAACUACGUG
rnacentral:rRNA from 1 species